rnacentral:tRNA from 1 species
GCCUUCGUGGUGUAAUGGUCAGCACACUGAGCCGGUAAUUCAGUGGUCCGUGGUUCGAUCCCCGGCGAAGGCA